rnacentral:rRNA from 1 species
UACGUAGGGGUCGAGCGUUUGUCCGGAGUUACUGGGCGUAAAGCGUGUGCAGGCGGCGCAUCGCGCCCGGCGUGAAAGCCCCCCGGCUCAACCGGGGGAGGGUCGUCGGGGGACGGGUGCGCUUGAGGGUAUCAGGGGCAGGUAGAAUUCCCGGUGUAGUGGUGAAAUGCGUAGAGAUCGGGAGGAAUACCCGUGGCGAAGGCGGCCUGCUGGGAUACACCUGACGCUGAGACACGAAGGCGUGGGGAGCGAACGGG